rnacentral:rRNA from 1 species
UGCCAGCAGCCGCGGUAAUACGGAGGGUGCAAGCGUUGUUCGGAAUUACUGGGCGUAAAGCGCGCGUAGGCGGUCUGUUUAGUCAGAUGUGAAAGUCCACGGCUCAACCGUGGAAGUGCAUUUGAAACUGGCAGACUUGAGUACUGGAGGGGGUGGUGGAAUUCCCGGUGUAGAGGUGAAAUUCGUAGAUAUCGGGAGGAAUACCGGUGGCGAAGGCGACCACCUGGCCAGAUACUGACGCUGAGGUGCGAAAGCGUGGGGAGCAAACAGGAUUAGAUA